rnacentral:rRNA from 1 species
AUACGGGAGGCAGCAGUGGGGAAUCUUGCACAAUGGGCGAAAGCCUGAUGCAGCAACGCCGCGUGAGUGAUGAAGGUCUUCGGAUCGUAAAGCUCUUUCGGCCGGGACGAAAACGGCAGGGCGAAUAGUCCUGUCCUUGACGGUACCGGAAGAAGAAGCACCGGCUAACUCUGUGCCAGCAGCCGCGGUAAUACAGAGGGUGCAAGCGUUGUUCGGAAUUAUUGGGCGUAAAGCGCGUGUAGGCGGUGGUACAAGUCGGGUGUGAAAGCCCACGGCUCAACCGUGGAAGUGCGCCCGAUACUGUAUCGCUGGAGUGCCGGAGAGGAAGGCGGAAUUCCCGGUGUAGAGGUGAAAUUCGUAGAUAUCGGGAGGAACACCAGUGGCGAAGGCGGCCUUCUGGACGGACACUGACGCUGAGACGCGAAAGCGUGGGUAGCAAACAGGAUUAGAUACCCCAGU